AGGGCACAGCUCCAUGGCAGAGAGCAGAUCUCAGCCAUGCUGCAUGAGGGGUUGGGGACAGCAGGACCCAAGUGAGCUGCCUUCAGCCCUGCCCAGCAGCAAGCAUCCUUCCCUCAGUGGAGAUAUGGCUAAUGGCAGCUUAGCUGUAAUGCUGCAUUUCUGCAUCACUGAAGCUCCAAGCCUCCCCCUGCACCCCAGAUUCCUCCGUCUGGUUCUCAGCUUAUCCUCAGCACACUGGUUUUGAAGAAAAUGCUGGCAAUCAAUGGAAAAAUUGUUUGCAGGACAAAAUUUAACUCCCACAUGGUAUGAAAUGGUAUUAUACAGUGCCACUACAUAUUAACAGGUUCCUUACUUUCGACUGUGGAAUGACAAGUCUAUUUUGUGGUGGUGUGAAAUGAACCAUGUACUGCUACCACUGUCUCAUGUCUCAUAAUGGAAGGUUCACAGCAUGGACAAUUGGGAAUUUCUCCAGGCAGGGGAAAAGCACUUAUUUUCAACCCCUAGCUUUAAUCAAUCAAGGAGAAACUGGAAAUCUCUGUAAAGUAAUGAAUGUUGAUUUAUGUACACACUAUUGAUUUUAGAGAUUUAAUGCUCUGUUUCCCUAAUUUAUGUUGACCUUAUGAAGUUUAGAGAUGAACACAAAAGGUGAAUAUUUGUGGGACAGAAUUAUUCUUCCCUUGGAUAUCUGAACAAAAGAUUUUGUACUGUCUGUGUAUGGGGGAGAAAAAAAACGAGGCAUCUGGAAUUUAAGUCAAAGGGCUGUACCAAGUCAAGUGGUUGGAGAGAACAGGGGCACAUUAUUAAAUCAGUUUGUUGCAAAAUGGACAAGACCAUUCUUGCAAGUCUUGUCCUGCUUGUUGUCUUCACGGCAUACUGAAGGCGUGGGGUUACUAAAAUUCACCCUUUGGUUAAAUGCACUUUUUAUUGAACAUGCGUUAUUUUUCUACAAAAUGUGAAGGUAUUGUUUUGAAUAAUUCAGUGUUCAUCUACCUUGUAGUCUGCAUGCUUUGUGCUCCUUCAUAGCACUCUGACAGAGAGUGAGAGAGAGAUUAGUAAACAUGACCCCAGAAGACCUCUGUAAGUGCCUGUCUAGCAUAACUUAUUGGCUUCACUUUCUCUGCUCUGAGGAUCAUUAGCUGUGCUGGAUAUAUUAUACACGAGUUUUGCUAUUGCUUAUCU
rnacentral:lncRNA from 7 species